rnacentral:rRNA from 1 species
UACGUAGGGUGCAAGCGUUAAUCGGAAUUACUGGGCGUAAAGCGUGCGCAGGCGGUUUUGUAAGUCUGACGUGAAAUCCCCGGGCUCAACCUGGGAAUUGCGUUGGAGACUGCAAGGCUAGAAUCUGGCAGAGGGGGGUAGAAUUCCACGUGUAGCAGUGAAAUGCGUAGAGAUGUGGAGGAACACCGAUGGCGAAGGCAGCCCCCUGGGUCAAGAUUGACGCUCAUGCACGAAAGCGUGGGGGAGCAAACGGG